rnacentral:rRNA from 1 species
GACGAACGCUGUCGGCGUGCUUAACACAUUCAAGUCGAACGGAAAGGCCCUGCUUUUUUGGGUUGCUCGAGUGGCGAACGUGUGUGUAACACGUUAGUAACCUUCCCUUGACUUUGGGAUAACUUCUGGUAACUGGGGCUACUACCGGAUAUGAGCUCCUGCUGCAUUGUGGGGUUUGGACAGUUUCGGCGGUUGGGGAUGGACUCGCGUCUUAUCAGCUUGUUGGUGGGGUAGUGGCUUACCAAGGCUUUGACGGGUAGCCGGCCUGAGAGGGUGACCGGCCACAUUGGGACUGAGAUACGGCCCAGACUCAUAAGGGAGGAAGCAGUGGGGAAUAUUGCACAAUGGGAGGAAGCCUGAUGCAGCAACGCAGCGUGCGGGAUGAAGGCCUUCGGGUUGUAAACCGCGUUCGCCGGUGACGAAGAGUGAGUGACGGGAAUGGGUAAAGAAGCACCGGCUAAAUACGUG